UGCCCCAACAUCUGCCACUGGGAAUACAGUCUCCACCUGACAGGCUCAUUUGUCAGUGCAGGUGUUGAAAGGUGGAGGGGUUUCUGACAGCAGUCCACCUAGGCUGCCUUCAAACUAAAGUCGUUUGGAGCCUUUGCUCUCUGAAGCGAGUUUGUGGUUUCUGUUGAACUUUUAAUUGUGUGAGAAAAAAAUUGAAGAGAAAAAGCCCUUCAGAGAAAACUACCCCAGGUAGCACUUACAGCUGGGUAAGGUCAGACUUCAUGCCAAGGCCUUCAUUCACCACCUUCUGACAUAUUCACCAGCCAGUCUUGCUGAUCAUCAUAAGCAAUGUGUUCCCAUGCUCCUGGCAGGGCAGGAUGUUUCUUCUCAGCAAGACAUUCCCUCCUCACUGCUUCUGAAUCACUGAAGUCCCCAGGACUGCUGUGCCAGACCAAGUAUUGUGCUUGGUCUGUAAACCAACAUCCCGGCAACCCUUCCCGGGCCUGCUCCUACCCACUUUGCACCAAAGGAAAGACCCUUAUCCCUGAACCAAGAUCUCAUGCUUCAGCCUCUCCAUGCUUAACCCAAACUGAUCUCUUACUACCCUGCCUUUACCUUUCUCUGAUUCACCACUGAUAAUCUGCCUUAAACCCUAAAUUGGCUGUUCAUCCAAGCCAAUCCCAGGAUAUAAGAGGUGCCUUUUACUAGGCUUUGUACCCAGGCAGCAGUCACCCUGAACCACCUGACGAAUUUUUACCCUGAGAUCACCAACUCUAGCCAGCCAUGCACUCCAAAUGUAGGGGAUAUGAGUACAUGUGUAUGUGCCCACACAUACAUAAUUGCUGGGGCAUCUUUCUGCCUAAUCCCUUGGGUCACUCUGUACCUGUCGGCAUCCAGAGAACAGUGACGGGAGACAGGAGCCCUCAGAUGAGGUGCUCCAGAGCCGCAUGCAGCACUGGACCUCUGCAGCCCACCACCAAGUCAGAGAGCUUUCCAGGGAUGGAAGCAGAGCCUAUAUAUGUUGGUGGGAAUGGCCUUUCUUUGUCCCGCCAGACGUUGCUGGCUACUUCUGUAAGAUCGGUCUACGUCUACUUAUUGGAGUGCAGCCAGCAAAACUUGGAGCCAAAUCCCAGACUUCCAGACUUGACAGCUUUGACUCGUAGCUUGAGAAAUACCAAGAAAGUAUUCAAUUGUGGCACAGCUCUUGUGGGCUGCUCAAUGCAUCAGUGCUGGGCAGCAAGCAGGCAGCAGCCCUUCAGCAGUAAAUGCAAGUGGCUUUAAUCUCAAAGACUCACCUCUAGCAAUGGAUUCUUCAGCAGAAGUCCCAAAGUGUCCUGUGAACCAAUGUUCACCUCUUGUCUUUGGUCUGUCUUUUCACACCUGCAUUCACCAGGAUAAGCUUGGUGGAUAGAUCCAUCCUGCAUCAGUAGGUCAGGUAGGUUGUUCUGCUAUGGCCUUACCUCUUAGCUUAACAAAGGCAUUACUGUCUGUACGUAUCUGUGUAUGUAUUUUGUUUUCCCUUGUACCACACACACAUCUGUGGGGAGCCUCCUUCUCACACACCACAGCUGAGAGGCUCCUUUAAUUUUGUCAUUUACUUAAUGUGCUUAAAAAGCAACUUGAAAAUAGAUUUAAUUGCACUCUUGGGAGGAAGGGAGUAGGGAGAAGAAAGUCCUGGAGUAAAGGGAAGAAAGAGGAAAGGAUUAAUUUCUAUCAUCCUCAUAGUUUUCUUUAACUGUUCCAGGCUUGCACUUGAUAUAUCUGCAUUAGCUUGAGAUGGAACAGUCUGUUGAUGAGGCCUGAGCUAUAGAGGAGACCCAGUGCCUGGUGUGAGGAAGUUGUGUGGUUUCAUAGCGGUAAUAGUUUCACUGUUGUGUUGGAACACAAUUUGUAGCAGAGGAAUCGUGAGGUCCUUUCUGGCAUUUUUUUGAACAAGGAGGAGAAAGCUUCUCUGGCUUUGCAGAGCAGUAUCUUGUAAUUGCUGGGGCCGAGGCCUUCAUCCCAACAAUUUUUUGCAUGGCCUUUGAAAAAUCCUGCUCUGCCAUGUGUGCCAAGCAACUGCAAUGACUUAAUGAGUUUGGUUUUCAGAGACUUGACUAGAUAGAUGUUUGACCUUAUUCAUGUUUGCAAAUGUGUCUUGUUCUAGUUGCUAGUGAAUAUGCACUCUCACAUACAGCAACAGAUGCAAGAAAAGAGAUGGGGUUCUUCCCGAGACUUUCUGGUUCUGCAUAGUCAUUUGGAAAUCAAUUUAAUGCAUUUUAAUUGCCUAUUUUUCUCCUUGGUUUUCUCUUUACAGCUACACACCAGCAAAAAAAUAAUAAGGUAGAGUCUAGCCAGGCAGGCUGCUAAUGAGGAAGCUUGACUCAAGAAGAUUUUAAUUUUCAGCAUUUGUUCUUCGAGAUAGCCAUUUCAGCAUGCAGGGAUGUCACAAAACAGGAAUGCUACCAUUAGGUAAUGGAACAAAGGCACUGGGCUCAUACGUCAUUUUGUUACAUGAAGAGCUAAACACUUGCAUCCUUGACCUAACUAUAGGAAUCUGGCAAUCCAUUUCAGGAUGCUGGUCACCUCAGCCAAAUCAUCCCUAUAAAGAAAUCACCCAUUGUGCAUGACACACAGUGUGAAAAGAAUGACGGAGAUACAAUUCAAGCUGUGAAGAGGGAAAGGUGUAUGUUAAAAGCCCAAUCUCUUGCCAGCCUUCUGGUAAAGGGAAGCUUCUGGCUCUGCCAAGCUGAUCAAAGGGCUUCUCAGAAACCCCUCACCCAUGGGGAAUUGCUGUGGAAGACACGAUUUAGCUGAGAUCCGUGGCACCCCUGGACAGCCAGAGCAGGCAGGGUUGCACAAAUUUGGCCCAGGAGUUGGGAUCAAAGCCAGCCCACCACUGUGGUGCCUCCAACUCCACAGCUGGUGCAGUUUAGCCACGACCUAGGUACUGCUGAAUACUGUAUCUGAAGCAUGCCAUUGCUACCAAAGUAGUAUGCUGCAGGCAGCUAGACAUAUCUGUGUUCAGCAUAUCCAUUCAGUUCUGAUAGUCUCUUAUCAUUUCAUCUUUUCAGAUGAAAAGCUUCAAGUUUCAUCCCUGUCCACAGCCACACUGGGAAGUUCAAUGUUUUGAGAAAAUGAGAGGGGAGGAGAGAAUCUUGCUUUACACCAAUUGAUUGUAGUUAUCAUUACCUACUUUACAUGAAAUGUAAAGGAUGCCCCUCAAUAGUGCAUAGCCACAAGUGAAGAGCACCAGAAUCACCAUAGCGGGACCCCAGUAUCACACAACAGAGCCGGGAUUCAGCCCACUGCUGGCACCUACCUCAGCCUGGACCAGCCUUUGAGAGGAGAUGCUGCACAUUGGCCCCAGCCAGCAGCAAGGGGUCUACUCAGAGCACAGAGCACAAACCUGUUCGCGACUCAGGUUUGUAGAAGGGGCAAACCCAAAAGGAAACAGAGCGGCACCGAUGCAGCGUAUAUCAUCAUUAAAUUAUUGCUCUGA